rnacentral:rRNA from 1 species
UACGGAGGGUGCAAGCGUUGUCCGGAAUCACUGGGCGUAAAGGGCGCGUAGGCGGCUCAUGAAGGCUGUGGUGAAAGUCCGGGGCUCAACCUCGGAUCGGCCGUGGCGACUCGUGGGCUGGAGCAUUGUAGAGGCAGGCGGAAUUCCGGGUGUAGCGGUGGAAUGCGUAGAGAUCCGGAAGAACACCGGUGGCGAAGGCGGCCUGCUGGGCAGUUUUGCUGACACUGAGGCGCGACAGCGUGGGGAGCAAACAGG